rnacentral:rRNA from 1 species
UGUUAAGGCUAGGGGGUCAUCCCGACUUACCAACCCUUUGCAAACUCCGAAUACCGUAAAGUACUAUCCGGGAGACACACGGCGGGUGCUAACGUCCGUCGUGAAGAGGGAAACAACCCAGACCGCCAGCUAAGGUCCCAAAGUCAUAGUUAAGUGGGAAACGAUGUGGAAAGGCCCAGACAGCCAGGAGGUUGGCUUAGAAGCAGCCAUCCUUUAAAGAAAGCGUAAUAGCUCACUGGUCGAGUCGGUCUGCGCGGAAGAUGUAACGGGGCUAAACUAUGCACCGAAGCUGCGGAUUCAUACUUUGUAUGAGUGGUAGGGGAGCGUUCUGUAAGCGGUUGAAGGUGUACCGGGAGGUAUGCUGGACGUAUCAGAAGUGCGAAUGCUGACAUGAGUAACGAUAAUGCGGGUGAAAAACCCGCACGCCGGAAGACCAAGGGUUCCUAUCCCAUGUUAAUCAGGGUAGGGUAAGUCGACCCCUAAGGCGAGGCCGAAAGGCGUAGUCGAUGGGAAACGGAUUAAUAUUUCCGUACUUGGUAUAAUUGCGAUGGGGGGACGGAGAAGGCUAAGCAAGCAUGGCGAUGGUUGUCCAUGUGAAAGUGAGUAGGGCGUUUGUUUAGGUAAAUCCGGACGAACAUUAAACCUGAGACACGAGACGAGCUACUACGGUAGUGAAGUUGCUGAUGCCAUACUUCCAGGAAAAGCCUCUAAGCUUCAGAUUAUACCGAAUCGUACCCCAAACCGACACAGGUGGUCAGGUAGAGAAUACUAAGGCGCUUGAGAGAACUCGGGUGAAGGAACUAGGCAAAAUCGUACCGUAACUUCGGGAGAAGGUACGCUCCUAUCUGUGAUGAGACUUGCUCUCUAAGCGGACGGGAGCCGCAGUGACCAGGUGGCUGGGACUGUUUAUUAAAAACACAGCACUGUGCAAAAUCGCAAGAUGACGUAUACGGUGUGACACCUGCCCGGUGCCGGAAGGUUAAUUGAUGGGGUUAUCUUCGGAGAAGCUCUUGAUCGAAGCCCCGGUAAACGGCGGCCGUAACUAUAACGGUCCUAAGGUAGCGAAAUUCCUUGUCGGGUAAGUUCCGACCUGCACGAAUGGUGUAACCAUGGCCACGCUGUCUCCACCCGAGACUCAGUGAAAUUGAAAUCGCAGUGAAGAUGCUGUGUACCCGCGGCUAGACGGAAAGACCCCGUGAACCUUUACUACAGCUUGGCACUGAACAUUGAACCUACAUGUGUAGGAUAGGUGGGAGACUUUGAAGAUGAGACGCUAGUCUUGUUGGAGUCGUCCUUGAAAUACCACCCUUGUAGUUUUGAUGUUCUAACGUUGGCCCCUGAAUCGGGGUUACGGACAGUGCCUGGUGGGUAGUUUGACUGGGGCGGUCUCCUCCUAAAGAGUAACGGAGGAGCACGAAGGUUGGCUAAGUACGGUCGGACAUCGUACGGUUAGUGUAAUGGUAGAAGCCAGCUUAACUGCGAGACAGACACGUCGAGCAGGUACGAAAGUAGGUCAUAGUGAUCCGGUGGUUCUGAAUGGAAGGGCCAUCGCUCAACGGAUAAAAGGUACUCCGG